rnacentral:rRNA from 1 species
AGAGUUUGAUCCUGGCUCAGAAUCAACGCUGGCGGCGUGCCUAACACAUGCAAGUCGCACGAGAAAGUGGAGCAAUCCAUGAGUACAGUGGCGCACGGGUGAGUAACACGUGAAUGAUCUACCUCCGAGUGGGGAAUAACCUGGAGAAAUCCGGGCUAAUACCGCAUAACACUUACGAGUCAAAGCAGCAAUGCGCUUGGAGAGGAGUUCGCGGCCGAUUAGUUAGUUGGCGGGGUAAUGGCCCACCAAGACGAUGAUCGGUAUCCGGCCUGAGAGGGCGCACGGACACACUGGAACUGAAACACGGUCCAGACUCCUACGGGAGGCAGCAGUGGGGAAUUUUGCGCAAUGGGGGAAACCCUGACGCAGCAACGCCGCGUGGAGGAUGAAAUCCCUUGGGAUGUAAACUCCUUUCGAUAGGGACGAUUAUGACGGUACCUAUAGAAGAAGCCCCGGCUAACUUCGUGCCAGCAGCCGCGGUAAUACGAGGGGGGCAAGCGUUGUUCGGAAUUAUUGGGCGUAAAGGGUGCGUAGGCGGCCUGACAAGUCUGAUGUGAAAUCUAUGGGCUCAACCCAUAGCCUGCAUCGGAAACUGUCGGGCUUGAGUAUGGGAGAGGUGAGUGGAAUUUCCGGUGUAGCGGUGAAAUGCGUAGAUAUCGGAAGGAACACCUGUGGCGAAAGCGGCUCACUGGACCAUUACUGACGCUGAGGCACGAAAGCUAGGGGAGCAAACAGGAUUAGAUACCCUGGUAGUCCUAGCCCUAAACGAUGAUUGCUUGAUGUGGCAGGUACCCAAUCCUGCCGUGUCGAAGCUAACGCGAUAAGCAACCCGCCUGGGGAGUACGGCCGCAAGGCUGAACUCAAAGGAAUUGACGGGGGCCCGCACAAGCGGUGGAGCAUGUGGUUUAAUUCGACGCAACGCGAAGAACCUUACCUGGGCUCGAAAUGUACCGGAAUCCGUGAAACAUCGGCGUCUAGCAAUAGACGGGUUAUAAAGGUGCUGCAUGGCUGUCGUCAGCU